CCGGCUUACCAACCCGAUGCAAACUGCGAAUACCGGAGAAUGUUAUCACGGGAGACACACGGCGGGUGCUAACGUCCGUCGUGAAGAGGGAAACAACCCAGACCGCCAGCUAAGGUCCCAAAGUCAUGGUUAAGUGGGAAACGAUGUGGGAAGGCCCAGACAGCCAGGAUGUUGGCUUAGAAGCAGCCAUCAUUUAAAGAAAGCGUAAUAGCUCACUGGUCGAGUCGGCCUGCGCGGAAGAUGUAACGGGGCUAAACCAUGCACCGAAGCUGCGGCAGCGACACUGUGUGUUGUUGGGUAGGGGAGCGUUCUGUAAGCCUGUGAAGGUGUGUCGUGAGGCAUGCUGGAGGUAUCAGAAGUGCGAAUGCUGACAUAAGUAACGAUAAAGCGGGUGAAAAGCCCGCUCGCCGGAAGACCAAGGGUUCCUGUCCAACGUUAAUCGGGGCAGGGUGAGUCGACCCCUAAGGCGAGGCCGAAAGGCGUAGUCGAUGGGAAACGGGUUAAUAUUCCCGUACUUGGUGUUACUGCGAAGGGGGGACGGAGAAGGCUAUGUUGGCCGGGCGACGGUUGUCCCGGUUUAAGCGUGUAGGUGUGUGUUCCAGGUAAAUCCGGUUCACUUUAACACUGAGGCGUGACGACGAGGCACUACGGUGCUGAAGCAACAAAUGCCCUGCUUCCAGGAAAAGCCUCUAAGCAUCAGGUAACAUCAAAUCGUACCCCAAACCGACACAGGUGGUCAGGUAGAGAAUACCAAGGCGCUUGAGAGAACUCGGGUGAAGGAACUAGGCAAAAUGGUGCCGUAACUUCGGGAGAAGGCACGCUGACACGUAGGUGAAGUGAUUUACUCAUGGAGCUGAAGUCAGUCGAAGAUACCAGCUGGCUGCAACUGUUUAUUAAAAACACAGCACUGUGCAAACACGAAAGUGGACGUAUACGGUGUGACGCCUGCCCGGUGCCGGAAGGUUAAUUGAUGGGGUCAGCGCAAGCGAAGCUCCUGAUCGAAGCCCCGGUAAACGGCGGCCGUAACUAUAACGGUCCUAAGGUAGCGAAAUUCCUUGUCGGGUAAGUUCCGACCUGCACGAAUGGCGUAAUGAUGGCCAGGCUGUCUCCACCCGAGACUCAGUGAAAUUGAACUCGCUGUGAAGAUGCAGUGUACCCGCGGCAAGACGGAAAGACCCCGUGAACCUUUACUAUAGCUUGACACUGAACAUUGAGCCUUGAUGUGUAGGAUAGGUGGGAGGCUUUGAAGUGUGGACGCCAGUCUGCAUGGAGCCGACCUUGAAAUACCACCCUUUAAUGUUUGAUGUUCUAACGUGGACCCGUUACCCGGGUUGCGGACAGUGUCUGGUGGGUAGUUUGACUGGGGCGGUCUCCUCCUAAAGAGUAACGGAGGAGCACGAAGGUUGGCUAAUCCUGGUCGGACAUCAGGAGGUUAGUGCAAUGGCAUAAGCCAGCUUGACUGCGAGCGUGACGGCGCGAGCAGGUGCGAAAGCAGGUCAUAGUGAUCCGGUGGUUCUGAAUGGAAGGGCCAUCGCUCAACGGAUAAAAGGUACUCCGGGGAUAACAGGCUGAUACCGCCCAAGAGUUCAUAUCGACGGCGGUGUUUGGCACCUCGAUGUCGGCUCAUCACAUCCUGGGGCUGAAGUAGGUCCCAAGGGUAUGGCUGUUCGCCAUUUAAAGUGGUACGCGAGCUGGGUUUAGAACGUCGUGAGACAGUUCGGUCCCUAUCUGCCGUGGGCGCUGGAGAACUGAGGGGGGCUGCUCCUAGUACGAGAGGACCGGAGUGGACGCAUCACUGGUGUUCGGGUUGUCAUGCCAAUGGCACUGCCCGGUAGCUAAAUGCGGAAGAGAUAAGUGCUGAAAGCAUCUAAGCACGAAACUUGCCCCGAG
rnacentral:rRNA from 3 species